rnacentral:rRNA from 1 species
AUUGAACGCUGGCGGCAAGCCUAACACAUGCAAGUCGAACGAGUGGCGGACGGGUGAGUAAUGUCUGGGAAACGGCCUGAUGGAGGGGAAUAACUACUGAAAACGGUAGCUAAUACCGCAUACCAUCGGAUGUGCCCCGAUGGGAUUAGCUAGUAGGUGGGGUAAAGGCGCACCUAGGCGACGAUCCCUAGCUGGUCUGAGAGGAUGACCAGCCACACUGGAAAUGAGACACGGUCCAGACUCCUACGGGAGGCAGCAGUGGGGAAUAUUGCACAAUGGGCGCAAGCCUGAUGCAGCCAAGCCGCGUGUACGAAGAAGGCCUUCGGGUUGUAAAGUACUUUCAGCGGGGAGGCGUUACCCGCAGAAGAAGCACCGGCUAACUCCGUGCCAGCAGCCGCGGUAAUAC